rnacentral:rRNA from 1 species
GCAAGUCAUUGGCGAAGCUGCGCUUGCGCAGUCUAGCCAAGGCGGACGGGUGAGUAACGCGUAAGGAAAUUGCACUGCAGACAGGGAUAACAGACGGAAACGACUGAUAACACCUGGUAUUGUCAGGCUGGCGCAUGCCGGCCUGAUGAAAGGAGACGCUGCAGGAGAGCCUUGCGUCCUAUUAGCUAGUUGGUGGGGUAACGGCCCACCAAGGCGAUGAUGGGUAGCCGGCCUGAGAGGGUGAGC